rnacentral:rRNA from 1 species
UACGGGGGGAGCAAGCGUUGUUCGGAUUUACUGGGCGUAAAGGGCGUGUAGGCGGCCACCGCAAGUCGGUUGUGAAAUCUCCGGGCUUAACCCGGAAAGGUCAACCGAUACUGCGGGGCUAGAGUGCAGAAGGGGCAACUGGAAUUCUCGGUGUAGCGGUGAAAUGCGUAGAUAUCGAGAGGAACACCUGCGGCGAAGGCGGGUUGCUGGGCUGACACGAGCGUGAAACGCGAAAGCUAGGGGAGCGAACGGG